rnacentral:rRNA from 1 species
AUUGAACGCUGGCGGCAUGCCUUACACAUGCAAGUCGCACGGCAGCACGGGAGCAAUCCUGGUGGCGAGUGGCGAACGGGUGAGUAAAGUAUCGGAACGUGCCCAGUCGCGGGGGAUAACGUAGCGAAAGUUACGCUAAUACCGCAUACGCACUAUGGAUGAAAGCGGGGGAUCGCAAGACAUCGCGCGAUUGGAGCGGCAGAUAUCAGAUUAGGUAGUUGGUGGGGUAAAGGCUCACCAAGCCGACGAUCUGUAGCUGGUCUGAGAGGACGACCAGCCACACUGGGACUGAGACACGGCCCAGACUCCUACGGGAGGCAGCAGUGGGGAAUUUUGGACAAUGGGCGAAAGCCUGAUCCAGCCAUGCCGCGUGCAGGAUGAAGGCCUUCGGGUUGUAAACUGCUUUUGUACGGAACGAAAAGGUUUGGCCUAAUAAGCUGAGCUCAUGACGGUACCGUAAGAAUAAGCACCGGCUAACUACGUGCCAGCAGCCGCCGCAG